GGUAUCGCCCUGUAAAACGAUCGCGAUUGGCAAUUUAUUUUAGUUAUUCCCAAACUUUAGUUGAUACGGCUGCUCCGAAAGAGUUAUUGAAUAACGUUGUGUGAAUAGUUGAGAACGACUGUAAUGAAGGCGUUUUAGAUGUUUUGAGUGAUGUGGCGACUAGCAAGGCGUCGCUCCGAUACGUUUAUGGCGAUUUACGGCAGUGCGAAGUGAAACAUCGACAGAGUAAUACGUGCCCGCCCUCGCGACACGCUUUUCCGAUUUCCUAAACUCGUGUUCAGUUAAAAUCUACCCCCGCUUCAUGCUUCAUCUAUGAAAUGUGGACAAUGGAAUUUGCUUCGUUUUACUUUCGAUCAAUCGAAAGUGGAAGAAUACAACUCUGAUUGAGCGAAGAGAGAUAAAUUCGAAGAGAGCCGAUGACUUGCUGUGGUGGGGCUACAUUAGUUGAAGAGUAUGGCGAACGACACCGACGCAUAUUGCGUGCCCGGCGCCACAAAUUUCAACAAGGCGUACAGCAGACUUCACGGCUAUAUCGCACUAGUGAUAUGCAUCGUCGGGUCCGCAACGAACUCCAUAAACAUUGCUGUUUUGAGUCGUCGGGAAAUGUCAAGCUCCACGAAUUCCAUAUUGACUGGACUGGCCGUUGCAGACCUUCUCGUCAUGCUUGAAUACAUCCCUUACGCUCUUCAUAUGAAUAUCAAAAUAGGACCUCAAGUGAACAAGAAUACGUAUGCAUGGACAGUCUUUGUUUACUUCCACUCAAUAUUUAGUCAAACGUUCCACACUAUUUCAAUUUGGCUGGCUGUGACUUUGGCGGUUUGGCGCUAUGUUGCCAUUGCGUUUCCACAACGAAAUAGAACGUGGUGCAACAGGAAAAAUACAAUUACCGCUAUAGUGAGCGCGUACGUGAUCUGUCCUUUUUUGUGUUUACCUAUUUAUUUCGCUAUGACCAUCGUGCCUAGUGAAGUGACAUCGAAGAACAAUUCCGAAUUUGCAGAGGACUUAGCUUUACCCCAAAAUCGGACCGUUUAUCUAUUAGAAAUGUCCAAAAACGUUGAAUUAGUCACAGCGAUCAUGUGGAUUUACAGUGUAAUAUUAAAACUAGUUCCGAGUAUAGCGUUGUCGAUACUGAGUACGUGUUUGAUAUCUAAGUUGACAACGACUGAGAGAAGGAGGCAAAAUCUUCUCAAGCGAUCAACAGUUGGGCCAAAUGAGCCAGAAAAGCAGUGUCUUGCAGAUGACUCAAAUACACGUCGAUCCAGCCGAACAGACCGCACCACACGGAUGCUACUGGCCGUGCUAGGCCUCUUCCUCUCUACAGAAGUGCCUCAAGGUCUACUUGGACUAGCAAGCGCAGUAGCUCCGGACUUUUUCAAAAACUGCUACAGUAUGUUCGGCGACCUCAUGGAUAUGUUGGCGCUCUUCACGUCCUCCGUGAACUUCGUGCUGUACUGCAGCAUGAGCCGUCAGUUCAGGUGCACGUUCGCUCGCCUGGCCAGACGAAUGUUGUACGCCGCCGAAGAACCAGCCAAAUUUGCUGCGAAAUUGGAGCCUACCACUCAAAAAGGAAAGCUUGAAAAAUACUUUGAAGUGUGCCGGAGCAUGCGUUCUUACAAAUCCUGACCAAUAGGUCACUGGGCCGCUUUAGCGACAAAUUCCCGCCCUCAUUAGGGUGGUUGAGGAGAGUAUCAUGUAGCUUCGCUCUCUAAGCUCGUAGCUGAAUUUUAGCAACAUAUUUUUAUUUUAAUUAAGAAUGUAAUCUUAGAUUAAUGAAUAAGAUUAAUUUAUUCUUAGCAAUCGUUAAUUGCUUAGUUACAUGAUUGUUGAUGAUUUACUUAAUAUUUGCGUCUUUGAGCCACGACGCAAACAUUAAACCUGUAAAUCUACCUAUUUUCAUCCAUCAAAGUUUUCGAAAGAAAUUUCAAUUAUUGUGUACAUACAUAUUACGUAGGGUCCAAUUUUAUGUUUAAAAUAAAAUGAAUAUUUGUAAUCAAUGUUUUGUAUCCGUAAAUGUUUUCAUAGUUAACUAAAGGUAGCUUUAACGAAUUUAAAUAGAUGUCUAAAAUUAAAUUUGUAUUCAUUCUUAAAUAUAAAACCAUGUAUUUUUAAUAGUAUUAUGUGCCUAUUAUAAUAAUUGUAAAUAUGUCACGUCUAAAGUUUAAUAGUUUUAUUAUUUCAACAUUAUUAAACGUAUCUAGUUAUGGUAACGAUAAUAAAAACGAACAUUGUAAUUUAUAUAACUUCAGCAUGAUUUGUGUCGUAAAUAAAUGAUAAUUGAAAAA